AUUGAACGCUGGCGGCAGGCCUAACACAUGCAAGUCGAACGAGUGGCGGACGGGUGAGUAAUGUCUGGGAAACUGCCCGAUGGAGGGGGAUAACUACUGGAAACGGUAGCUAAUACCGCAUACCAUCGGAUGUGCCCAGAUGGGCUUAGCUAGUGGGUGGGGUAACGGCUCACCUAGGCGACGAUCCCUAGCUGGUCUGAGAGGAUGACCAGCCAAACUGGAACGGAGAAACGGGCCAGAUUCCUACGGGAGGCAGCAGUGGGGAAUAUUGUAAAAUGGGCGCAAGCCUGAUGCAGCCAUGCCGGGGGUAGGAAGAAGGCCUUCGGGUUGUAAAGUACUUUCAGCGAGGAGGCGUUAAUCGCAGAAGAAGCACCGGCUAACUCCGUGCCAGCAGCCGCGGUAAUUC
rnacentral:rRNA from 1 species